UACGUAGGGUGCAAGCGUUGUCCGGAAUUAUUGGGCGUAAAGAGCUCGUAGGCGGUUUGUCGCGUCUGCUGUGAAAACUCGGGGCUUAACUCCGGGCCUGCAGUGGGUACGGGCAGACUGGAGUACUGCAGGGGAGACUGGAAUUCCUGGUGUAGCGGUGGAAUGCGCAGAUAUCAGGAGGAACACCGGUGGCGAAGGCGGGUCUCUGGGCAGUAACUGACGCUGAGGAGCGAAAGCGUGGGGAGCGAACAGG
rnacentral:rRNA from 1 species